UAUAUACUCCCUCCGUCCCAAAAUUCUUGUCGUAGAUUUGUCUAAAUACAGAUGUAUCAAGUCACGUUUUAGUAUUAGAUACAUCCGUAUCUAGACGAAUCUAAGACAAGAAUUUUGGGACGGAGGGAGUAUAUG
rnacentral:pre_miRNA from 1 species